GCCUGGGUGGCUCAGUUGGUUAAGUGUCUGACUUUGGCUCAGGUCAUGAUCUCAUGGUUCAUGGGUUCAAGCCCUGCUUCAGGCU
rfam:Felis catus breed Abyssinian Contig95083.1, whole genome shotgun sequence. [26-MAY-2016]